rnacentral:lncRNA from 1 species
UGGGUUUCCUACUGCAGCAUGUUCAAAUGUCGUGACAAAGACAUAUUACAAGUACUGGAAUUCCACAUUUAAUAGUUCCGUAGAUUAUAAAUAUAGGCUAAAGGCUAUAUUUGACUUUGUUGAGUAAUGGUUGUACCAGCACAGCAUUGAGGAGGCUCGUAGUAUCGUAGGUGUGCCAAGCUACGUCGUCCGGAUACAGCCAGCAGUUACUCCCACUUACAGUUUGCUGCUCGCCUGCUCAACUCAACCUCGCCCUGGUUUAAGAUACAAUUUCCAACCCAAACUCGUUUGUCUAUCUCAAAGAUGUCUUUGAGUGAGAAAAGUGAUGAGGAGCUCAGCAAGUUGCUCUCUCAGUAUGGCAUCAAACAUGGACCCAUAGUCGACUCCACUCGAAAGCUGUACGAGAAGAAGCUUGAGAAGGCCAUGGAGGACGCUCCAGUGGAAGAAUCCUCGCCUGAUAAGACCUACUACAAAGAGGAAGACUCCACUCUGUACGAGAAGAAGCUUGAGAAGGCCAUGGAGGACGCUCCAGUGGAAGAACCCUCGCCUGAUAAGACUUACUACAGAGAGGAAGCGGAGGAAAUUACCUACAUCACAUAUCACACCCCGGUUAGACAAGAUAUGCAUUCAGACAUGCUGAAACGAAGAAACAACGUUGAGCCGGAGGAAGACGAGGAAUCGGACCAAGACACAGAGCCCCCUGUCACUUACAGAACAGCCAAUCACAGCUCAGCAGCACGAUCCAGGGAUCUGGAAAGAAAGUCUGGAGGCAGCAUGUGGAAGGUGAUUCGGCUGCUGCUGCUGUUAGCUGUGUCAGCAGCUGUCAUCUACUACGCCUACUGCCGUGUGAUCAACAAUGAAGAAAAUCCUUUUGCAAAUCCUUUUGUGAUUCAAUGAUCGGAUAUAUUGAUGUUAUCAAUUCCAUAAACCUUUAAAGGCUGGAAAUAUUCUUUAUUUCUUAGUGUCACCAAAUCAGUGAAAUGAACAAAAUCAGACAAAUUAUAGUCUGUUUAGACAAAGCCUGGUAUAUGCCCGACCAUUGUUUUGGUGGGGCAGCCUGCCCCGCCUAUCAGAACCCCCGCCCCGCCUGAGGGACCAGGAAUUAUUUUAGAAUUAAUAUAUAGAUUGAAAUAAUGUCCCUCAGUCAUGUAUGGUUCAAGUACUGCAUUUCUGAAUGUUGUGGUGGUAUUUUGGCGGGGCAAAACGUUUGUUUAUCCUUUCAAAGUGUUUACCUCUGCUCUGAUUGGUCUAACUUGAGAGCAGAUCGACAGUCAAUCGUGAGUGAUCAAUGUGUCUGUUUCUAUGUAUGUUGCUUGUUUUGCUUUGUGAUGGGGAGUUGACAAGUCUGACGAAGAUUUCUGUUGCAUCGAAAUGUUGCACAAUUAAAAUUGCUGGGAACUUUUAAUACCGUGUGCAGAUCUUUUGUCUGAUUCUUGCCU